rnacentral:rRNA from 1 species
AUUGAACGCUGGCGGCAUGCCUUACACAUGCAAGUCGAACGGCAGCACGGGAGCAAUCCUGGUGGCGAGUGGCGGACGGGUGAGUAAUAUAUCGGUACGUGCCCAGUCGUGGGGGAUAACGCAGCGAAAGCUGUGCUAAUACCGCAUACGAUCUAAGGAUGAAAGCGGGGGAUCGCAAGACCUCGCGCGAUUGGAGCGGCCGAUAUCAGAUUAGCUAGUUGGUGGGGUAAAGGCCCACCAAGGCGACGAUCUGUAGCUGGUCUGAGAGGACGACCAGCCACACUGGAACUGAGACACGGUCCAGACUCCUACGGGAGGCAGCAGUGGGGAAUUUUGGACAAUGGGCGCAAGCCUGAUCCAGCAAUGCCGCGUGCAGGAUGAAGGCCUUCGGGUUGUAAACUGCUUUUGUACGGAACGAAACGGCCCUUUCUAAUACAGGGGGCUAAUGACGGUACCGUAAGAAUAAGCACCGGCUAACUACGUGCCAGCCGCCGCAGUAACAC